GCGAGGGUGGCGGAAUUGGUAGACGCGCACGGUUCAGGUCCGUGUGGCUUCGGCCGUGGGGGUUCAAGUCCCUUUCCUCGCA
rnacentral:tRNA from 1 species